AUUUGGUAACCUUGCACUUUCACUCAUAUUUAUUUAGUUCCUACAACAUGCAAAGGUUGAGUGUAGGUGAUGAAGAUAUUAGACACCUCAGGGUCAUUCUCUGGAGGAACUUUGAUUAUGAAGAGAAAAACAGGCAAAUAGGAAGAGAACAAAGAAUCCCCUUAGGCGGUGAAGGAUAAGCAGGACUUGCCAGGCAGAAGUCCAUGGGUUCAAGAAAACAGUUUGAUUCUGUUGGAAAGGGGAGAGUUCUGGGCACACUGUGAAGGGCACUGCCUGCCAAAGUAUGGAGGUUGUAUCGGACCCAUCGAGCCACUGAGGUAAUUGAAGCAGAUCAGGUUUGUAGUUUAGAAAGAUUCCCUGGCAUAUACCUGGAAGAUGGACAGGAGAGAAUAAAAGGCAGGAAACUCGCUAGGGUGCUAGGGUAGGUAUUGCAACAAUCCAAGAGGAAGCUGUCCUACUGACUGCUAGGCUGAACAAGUCUGGUUGAAAAAUAUUUAGGAAGCGAACUCUCCAGGAAUUGGCAGCCAGUAGGACUCAGCGUGAUUGUGGAUCCAGGUUCAGGGCUUGGUGCCCUUUUGAUGACGCAGGAAAUACAAAGGCGAGGCAAGAAC
rnacentral:lncRNA from 1 species